rnacentral:rRNA from 1 species
UGCCCUACGGGGGGCAGCAGUGAGGAAUAUUGGUCAAUGGUCGGGAGACUGAACCAGCCAAGCCGCGUGAGGGAGGAAGGUACAGAGUAUCGUAAACCUCUUUUGUCAGGGAACAAAGGCGGGGACGUGUCCCCGGAUGAGUGUACCUGAAGAAAAAGCAUCGGCUAACUCCGUGCCAGCAGCCGCGGUAAUACGGAGGAUGCGAGCGUUAUCCGGAUUUAUUGGGUCUAAAGGGUGCGCAGGCGGAGGUGCAAGUCAGCAGUCAAAUUGAGGGGCUCAACCCCGUACUGCCGAUGAAACUGCAU